AACAAAGAGAUAAGGAAGACCUUGAUGGAGUAGAAUCGGGUGCACACCAUGAGAGUCUCGUCUGGUGGAGCGCGGAGGCUUCGGAGUCUCGUCUGGUGGAGCACGACGACUCCACAAAUAUCGGCAUAAUAAAGCAUAAAAACACAAAGCGGUGGAAAAACAACGGUGGAAGAAGCUGAAGAAAUCUCCUAGAGCCACCUCGCAAUCUGCCAAGCUCGUGCUGCUCGUGCUUGCGAGGUUGAAGAAAGGGAAGAAACGGGGAUGGUGGUUUGUUAGAUGACAGAGGUAGCUAAUGGAGCUGAGGCAGGGUUGCAGCGAAGGACGGAUGACUUCUUUCCGUCCGAUUUUAA